rnacentral:rRNA from 1 species
UACCGGCUUAACACAUGCAAGUCGAGGGGCAGCAUUCUAGUUUGCUUGCAAACUGGAGAUGGCGACCGGCGCACGGGUGAGUAACACGUAUCCAACCUGCCGAUAACUCGGGGAUAGCCUUUCGAAAGAAAGAUUAAUACCCGAUGGCAUAAUAGAACCGCAUGGUUUGAUUAUUAAAGAAUUUCGGUUAUCGAUGGGGAUGCGUUCCAUUAGGCAGUUGGUGGGGUAACGGCCCACCAAACCUUCGAUGGAUAGGGGUUCUGAGAGGAAGGUCCCCCACAUUGGAACUGAGACACGGUCCAAACUCCUACGGGAGGCAGCAGUGAGGAAUAUUGGUCAAUGGACGAGAGUCUGAACCAGCCAAGUAGCGUGAAGGAUGACUGCCCUAUGGGUUGUAAACUUCUUUUAUAUGGGAAUAAAGUGGUCCACGUGUGGAUUUUUGUAUGUACCAUAUGAAUAAGGAUCGGCUAACUCCGUGCCAGCAGCCGCGGUAAUACGGAGGAUCCGAGCGUUAUCCGGAUUUAUUGGGUUUAAAGGGAGCGUAGGUGGACAGUUAAGUCAGUUGUGAAAGUUUGCGGCUCAACCGUAAAAUUGCAGUUGAUACUGGCUGUCUUGAGUACAGUAGAGGUGGGCGGAAUUCGUGGUGUAGCGGUGAAAUGCUUAGAUAUCACGAAGAACUCCGAUUGCGAAGGCAGCUCACUGGACUGCAACUGACACUGAUGCUCGAAAGUGUGGGUAUCAAACAGGAUUAGAUACCCUGGUAGUCCACACAGUAAACGAUGAAUACUCGCUGUUU